GACGAACGCUGGCGGCGCGCUUAACACAUGCAAGUCGAACGGAAAGGCCCUGCUUUUGUGGGGUGCUCGAGUGGCGAACGGGUGAGUAACACGUGAGUAACCUGCCCUUGACUUUGGGAUAACUUCAGGAAACUGGGGCUAAUACCGGAUAGGAGCUCCUGCUGCAUGGUGGGGGUUGGAAAGUUUCGGCGGUUGGGGAUGGACUCGCGGCUUAUCAGCUUGUUGGUGGGGUAGUGGCUUACCAAGGCUUUGACGGGUAGCCGGCCUGAGAGGGUGACCGGCCACAUUGGGACUGAGAUACGGCCCAGACUCCUACGGGAGGCAGCAGUGGGGAAUAUUGCACAAUGGGCGGAAGCCUGAUGCAGCAACGCCGCGUGCGGGAUGACGGCCUUCGGGUUGUAAACCGCUUUCGCCUGUGACGAAGCGUGAGUGACGGUAAUGGGUAAAGAAGCACCGGCUAACUACGUGCCAGCAGCCGCGGUGAUACGUAGGGUGCGAGCGUUGUCCGGAUUUAUUGGGCGUAAAGGGCUCGUAGGUGGUUGAUCGCGUCGGAAGUGUAAUCUUGGGGCUUAACCCUGAGCGUGCUUUCGAUACGGGUUGACUUGAGGAAGGUAGGGGAGAAUGGAAUUCCUGGUGGAGCGGUGGAAUGCGCAGAUAUCAGGAGGAACACCAGUGGCGAAGGCGGUUCUCUGGGCCUUUCCUGACGCUGAGGAGCGAAAGCGUGGGGAGCGAACAGGCUUAGAUACCCUGGUAGUCCACGCUGUAAACGGUGGGUACUAGGUGUGGGGUCCAUUCCACGGGUUCCGUGCCGUAGCUAACGCUUUAAGUACCCCGCCUGGGGAGUACGGCCGCAAGGCUAAAACUCAAAGGAAUUGACGGGGCCCCGCACAAGCGGCGGAGCAUGCGGAUUAAUUCGAUGCAACGCGUAGAACCUUACCUGGGUUUGACAUGGAUCGGGAGUGCUCAGAGAUGGGUGUGCCUCUUUUGGGGUCGGUUCACAGGUGGUGCAUGGCUGUCGUCAGCUCGUGUCGUGAGAUGUUGGGUUAAGUCCCGCAACGAGCGCAACCCUUGUUCACUGUUGCCAGCACGUUAUGGUGGGGACUCAGUGGAGACCGCCGGGGUCAACUCGGAGGAAGGUGGGGAUGACGUCAAGUCAUCAUGCCCCUUAUGUCCAGGGCUUCACGCAUGCUACAAUGGCUGGUACAGAGAGUGGCGAGCCUGUGAGGGUGAGCGAAUCUCGGAAAGCCGGUCUCAGUUCGGAUUGGGGUCUGCAACUCGACCUCAUGAAGUCGGAGUCGCUAGUAAUCGCAGAUCAGCAACGCUGCGGUGAAUACGUUCCCGGGGCU
rnacentral:rRNA from 1 species